UUUGAGUUAUAAAGUAAUGAGACUGAUUUUCAUAUGUACUUUAUGGAAAUCCAUCUUAUUAUUUCAUAGCGGAUCCUUAUUAU
rnacentral:miRNA from 1 species